ACGGAGGGUGCAAGCAUUAAUCGGAUUUAUUGGGCGUAAAGGGCGCGUAGGCGGGAACGUAAGUCAGAUGUGAAAUCCCGGGGCUCAACCCCGGAACUGCAUUUGAUACUGCGUUUCUUGAGGAUAGACGGAGAAAGUGGAAUUCCACAAGUAGCGGUGAAAUGCGUAGAUAUGUGGAGGAAUACCGGUGGCGAAGGCGACUUUCUAGUUUAUUCCUGACGCUGAGGCGCGAAAGCAAGGGGAGCAAACAGG
rnacentral:rRNA from 1 species